GAUGAACGCUAGCUACAGGCUUAACACAUGCAAGUCGAGGGGCAUCAGGAAGAAAGCUUGCUUUCUUUGCUGGCGACCGGCGCACGGGUGAGUAACACGUAUCCAACCUGCCCUUUACUCGGGGAUAGCCUUUCGAAAGAAAGAUUAAUACCCGAUAGCAUAAUGAUUCCGCAUGGUUUCAUUAUUAAAGGAUUCCGGUAAAGGAUGGGGAUGCGUUCCAUUAGGUUGUUGGUGAGGUAACGGCCCACCAAGCCUUCGAUGGAUAGGGGUUCUGAGAGGAAGGUCCCCCACAUUGGAACUGAGACACGGUCCAAACUCCUACGGGAGGCAGCAGUGAGGAAUAUUGGUCAAUGGGCGCUAGCCUGAACCAGCCAAGUAGCGUGAAGGAUGAAGGCUCUAUGGGUCGUAAACUUCUUUUAUAUAAGAAUAAAGUGCAGUAUGUAUACUGUUUUGUAUGUAUUAUAUGAAUAAGGAUCGGCUAACUCCGUGCCAGCAGCCGCGGUAAUACGGAGGAUCCGAGCGUUAUCCGGAUUUAUUGGGUUUAAAGGGAGCGUAGGUGGACUGGUAAGUCAGUUGUGAAAGUUUGCGGCUCAACCGUAAAAUUGCAGUUGAUACUGUCAGUCUUGAGUACAGUAGAGGUGGGCGGAAUUCGUGGUGUAGCGGUGAAAUGCUUAGAUAUCACGAAGAACUCCGAUUGCGAAGGCAGCUCACUGGACUGCAACUGACACUGAUGCUCGAAAGUGUGGGUAUCAAACAGGAUUAGAUACCCUGGUAGUCCACACAGUAAACGAUGAAUACUCGCUGUUUGCGAUAUACAGUAAGCGGCCAAGCGAAAGCAUUAAGUAUUCCACCUGGGGAGUACGCCGGCAACGGUGAAACUCAAAGGAAUUGACGGGGGCCCGCACAAGCGGAGGAACAUGUGGUUUAAUUCGAUGAUACGCGAGGAACCUUACCCGGGCUUAAAUUGCAGUGGAAUGAUGUGGAAACAUGUCAGUGAGCAAUCACCGCUGUGAAGGUGCUGCAUGGUUGUCGUCAGCUCGUGCCGUGAGGUGUCGGCUUAAGUGCCAUAACGAGCGCAACCCUUAUCUUUAGUUACUAACAGGUUAUGCUGAGGACUCUAGAGAGACUGCCGUCGUAAGAUGUGAGGAAGGUGGGGAUGACGUCAAAUCAGCACGGCCCUUACGUCCGGGGCUACACACGUGUUACAAUGGGGGGUACAGAAGGCAGCUAGCGGGUGACCGUAUGCUAAUCCCAAAAUCCUCUCUCAGUUCGGAUCGAAGUCUGCAACCCGACUUCGUGAAGCUGGAUUCGCUAGUAAUCGCGCAUCAGCCACGGCGCGGUGAAUACGUUCCCGGGCCUUGUACACACCGCCCGUCAAGCCAUGGGAGCCGGGGGUACCUGAAGUACGUAACCGCAAGGAUCGUCCUAGGGUAAAACUGGUGA
rnacentral:rRNA from 1 species